rnacentral:rRNA from 1 species
AGCUCCAAUAGCGUAUACUAAAAUUGCUGCAGUUAAAAAGCUCGUAGUUGGAUUUCUGGCGCGGCGUGCCCGGCCCGUUGAGCUCUGCUCUUCGAGUGUCGGUUUUGCGCGCCCGCCAUCCUUUCUAGAGAGCGCGACUACCCUUCACUGGGAUUGGUCGUGCGAUCUAGAUCGUUUACUUUGAAUAAAUUAGAGUGUUUAAGGCAGGCUUUACGCCGUGAAUACAUUAGCAUGGAAUAAUAAGAUAGGACUUCGGUUUUAUUUUGUUGGUUUCUAGAACUGAAGUAAUGAUUGAUAGGGAUAGUUGGGGGUGCUAGUAUUUAACGGCCAGAGGUGAAAUUCUUGGAUUCGUUAAAGACUAACUAAAGCGAAAGCAUUCACCAAGGAUGUCUUCUUUAAU